AGGGUUUGAUUCUGGCUCAGGACGAACGCUGGCGGCGCGCCUAACACAUGCAAGUCGAACGGAGAUUAUUAGGGAGCUUGCUCCUUGGCAAUCUUAGUGGCGGACGGGUGAGUAACGCGUGAGUAACCUGCCCUCAGGAGGGGAAUAACGUCUGGAAACGGACGCUAAUACCGCAUGACAUAGCGGAGGGGCAUCCCUCUGUUAUCAAAGAUUUAUCGCCUGAGGAUGGACUCGCGUCCGAUUAGAUAGUUGGUGGGGUAACGGCUCACCAAGUCGACGAUCGGUAGCCGGACUGAGAGGUUGAACGGCCACAUUGGGACUGAGACACGGCCCAG
rnacentral:rRNA from 1 species